rnacentral:rRNA from 1 species
GACGAACGCUGGCGGCGUGCUUAACACAUGCAAGUCGAACGAUGAUGCCCAGCUUGCUGGGUGGAUUAGUGGCGAACGGGUGAGUAACACGUGAGUAACCUGCCCCUGACUCUGGGAUAAGCGUUGGAAACGACGUCUAAUACUGGAUAUGACUGCCGGCCGCAUGGUCUGGUGGUGGAAAGAUUUUUUGGUUGGGGAUGGACUCGCGGCCUAUCAGCUUGUUGGUGAGGUAAUGGCUCACCAAGGCGACGACGGGUAGCCGGCCUGAGAGGGUGACCGGCCACACUGGGACUGGGACACGGCCCAGACUCCUACGGGAGGCAGCAGUGGGGAAUAUUGCACAAUGGGCGAAAGCCUGAUGCAGCAACGCCGCGUGAGGGAUGACGGCCUUCGGGUUGUAAACCUCUUUUAGUAGGGAAGAAGCGAAAGUGACGGUACCUGCAGAAAAAGCACCGGCUAACUACGUGCCAGCAGCCGCAGUAA